GGUAUCCAUCUCAGCUCAUAAAGAAUCUUUUUUUAAUUUGAUAAAUUUAUAUAUGAACUUAAAUGUGAUGUUUAUCUCCCUAAUCAGCUCUUAAAGAGAAGUCAAGCUUAGCAUGUUGUAUGUGGAUGACAAUUGCCUUAAAUUGUGUGUGUUUUGCAAUGCAGUUUGCGGGGCUCCUAAGAGGAGAUUUAGGCCAUAUACGCCGGCAGUGACUAGAGGCGCAAAUGACACAGCCGUUCGUAAGGCAAGAAAAGAACAAAUCCAGAGAGAUGAGGCAAUUGGGUAAGACGCUGAAUAAUCUUUCUUCAACACUCUGUAAUUUUGCUUUUCUUCUUUUUUCUUUUUUUUUUUUAGUUUCUGAAUAUGAAAUCUUAAUUUGGUGCAGAAAAGCAUUGCCUAUAGCCAUUGCAGUUGCAGCUGUGGCACUUGCUGGUCUAUACUUUUACCUAAACAGUGCUUUCUAGGAUUCAUAACAGCAACUCUCCCUCUUUGUGGGGAGAACAGCAUUGCUCUUGUAAUUCUAUUUCAUUCAUGGGUUUCCUAUUCACUUGCACUACACUUCUUUUGCGCCCAUACCACAUUGCAAGAGUUGAACUCCUCUUUUUCAUUUAAAAUAAAGCACUCAAUGAUAUCUAUUAUGACAUGCCAAAAAUUUGCAUUUCCUCUAUGGAUUUCCUCCGCGAAGCAAAUGUAAAAAAUUGUAAAUACAUCACAUCAACUUUAAUUUCCCUAUAAUACAACUCAUGCAGAUUACAUGAUCGAAAACCCUCCUCCAAACUGUGUUUAUUAGGUCACUAACUUGCUUCCAAAUUCUAUGGUGAAUAAUGGAUCCGACGGUGCCCUACCAGACACCUAUUUCUCCGGUGCAAGCUGAUUAGUGGUUGAGAUAUUACUCGGCCAAGAUCAGCAUGACAAAGUUGAUAGAGAACAGAAAGGGAUUUCUUGUUUAAUUUACCAGAUAAGUGAAAGUUGUAAAUUUACAUACUUUAGUUACAUGUACCGAGUUAUCAUUCUUGCAAGACAAAGGAUCCUUCAAUUCUCUUCUCAAAGAACUGCUGUGGAGGGAAAUUCAAGGGGGAGAACAUGUCACUAUAACUAGAACUAGGCGCCGGCUUGAAUUCAUAUGGACCUGCCUUCACUCCCCAGACCUAUAAAGAUGAAAUAAAGUGCUAAAUCAAAACCCUUUGUUAUACUAUUAGCAUAUCUCUGGUGAAAGAGAAGCAAAAGAAUGAAAACUAACUUGAUUUCCAUCAUCGUCAAAGCCUCUAUCCCAGGUGUGUAUUUCAUUAUUUUUCAAGACCGCAAGCUCCGAGGUAGAGUAGGUUGCUCCAUUCUGCUAUAGAAACCACAGGGUCAAGAUUGGUCAGAAAAGGGCACAGGAAAAGCAAAAAGCGUCAAUCCACAGCCAGGUUUAUAGUGAACAGCACUUUGCUACUCCGAAAGCAACAUAGGUUGAAUGGAGUAACAGGUAAAUACCUACCCAUGAAUUUGGGAAUCCGCCUGGUGGAGUUGAGCCCUCAUAUAAGCAUCGUUUUCCACGAUCACAGCGUCUGAGAUGUAUAGUUGUCAAAUGUUCCCCAAUGUCCUGUACAUAAUAUAAUAAAGUUGAUUAGCGGAAACCCAUGCAAGUAAAAACUAAGCAUAUCAUCUCUGCCCAAAGAUACAGCUUCAGCCACAAACUAAAAAUGAAAUAUUUCUGCCAAAAGAGGCACGGACAAUGGUAGCCAAGGCAAUAAUCUGCAGACUGCAUCAAUUUAGCACUUAAUUUGCCAACUGAAUACUUCACGGGCUUAACUUUUAAAAACAAGAGCAAUAGAGCAGAUUAAUUUAAUGAGUUGUACUAAUUAAUGUUUACAACCCGAACCAGCGACCAUCAUAGUAUUAAAUUUGAAUGAAAUUGUUGGGGUACCUGAUCUUCAAAGAUUUAGAAUAAAAUUUACUUUAGCAAGUAUCACAUAUUUUUAGCUUUUCUUGUUGAUCAAUGAACUCAUUAGACAUUUCAAGUUGAGAUAAUCUCCAACCAACCACAUUUAUUCUUCCAGUGUAAUGAUAACAGCUCAGGGAAUUAUUAUUGUUCAUUUCUUAUAGUAUUACAUAUUUAAUAACAUUAUUUUCUGGCUGCGGUUCACUUCAUCAACUGUCAUAAAGUCCUCCACAGUUCAAAGACAAACAAAACUUUGAUUAUUCAAGACAUAAUUGUGAAUGGCUAUACCCAAGUCCAACCUGUGCAGGAAAUUCAUACUAUGUCUUCAAAGUUCAAUGCCCAAGCAUAUGACUCAGAUACUCAAUAACUUGAAAAUGAAACAUGACAAGAGGACUCACACCAAUAACUUCUUCAGGUAGCGGGCGCUGAUCCCUAGGACGAUCACAGAAAUUUUUAUAUUCCUCAACUUCUCUAAUCGCAUAUGAACUUACCUGUCCAUUCAAAAUCAAAUAUAAAAUAUUUAAUUAUAGGCUCUAAAGCAACUAAAAAAUGAAACUCAUUGCAAUGCAUUAUAUAAAAGACAAUAAAGGAAAGAAUAGCUGUGCACAGCCGCACAAUGAAUACAAUUUUCCAAAAAUUAUAAAAUCACAUAAAAAAAAUUCAAAAUUGAAUCUAAUGUCCAAAAUCUACUUAUGGCAUCACUUUUAAAAACUGAGUGCAAGUUUGAAUGAUGAUAGUGAAAGCCGUAGAGGCCGUGCUACCAAACAUACAAAACAAUGAUACUGAUAACUAGCAACAACUAGAACAGUUCCAUGUGUAACUGAUAUUUUGUGCGACAUUUAAUCCAAAAGAAUAAAGCACUCCUUAAAUUCUUCAAAAUAUGAAACAAAUAAUAGAUUGCUAACAAGUGAUAUUAAGCAGUCAGUCCCUAGGUCAACAGAAUCUUUAUACUCAACCCCCUUCCUCUGUCUGAUAGUAUAUGGAUGCUUGUCACCAACUCUUUUAAAGUUCAGACUUCCAAUAACACAUGGUGUAAUCAACAUAAAAUGUAGUUUCCAUAUACAGCAUGCUUUAUGUCUCAAAUGUGCAAGCUCUUACUUACAAUGAUAAGAACAAUCAUCACAGGAAUGAUUAGGGGCACCAUGAAAAGUCUCUAAUGCCUCCUCAUACAUGGAAAAGAAAAUCUUCUAGCGGCCGAAAACAAGAAAGAAAUCACAAUGAUGCAAUAUAUAAACAUUAUUUACAGAAUUCAUAAAUAAGAUUAGAAGCCCCACCUCAACGUCGCAUUUCAAUUCUUUUGGGCAAGGCUUCACCAUAUAAAACCUCUGCAAACUACAACCGUCAGAACUUUUAUCAAAGAAAAGUAAUAUUUUGCAAAUAGCACAUUUGAAAUGAUACAGCGCAUAACAAACCUGCCGAAAGGGUUUCUGAGGAGUCCUCCAAAAUGCCUAAUAAGAGAAAAAAGAGAAUCCGCCUUUAAAAAAAAUGGCAGAUUUGAAAAAGCUAUGUAAAACAAUUGAAAAUAGAAGGUAAGAUUUAGUAAGACUAACUUGCUCAAGAUAUAAAAGCUUCGAACCAUCAACCAUUUCAGCUGCCGGGCAAGUAAGCAUUCUGCAAAAACAGCAUCCAUUUCCAUACAAAAUAAAAAUAAAAAUAAAAAAAUAGAAAAAAAAAACAAAUUUAUUGCCAAAAACAAUUCAAUAUUCUAAUGCAUAUACUAAAUGUAUACAAAUAAGCAGAAAUAUGAAAAAAGCACCUGAUGUUGAAGAAAUUAUCAGGAUCUCUCGAUGCCUGUUCUUUCGAAAACUAUUUCACCCACCCGGCCACAACAAUAUAAACAAAUUUAAUAAAUAAUUUUCUUUAAAAUGAGAAAAAAAUGAAGUUGAAAUUGAAAAGAAGACAAGAGAAUGGAAGUAGAAGAAGGAAGCACCUUCUCGCCAGAAAGAGAGUCAGCAACAAUACGGGCAUGGUCCCAGCGAGUCUUGGAUUUGGUGAGUCGUUUGAGGAGAACAGCGCCGCCAAUAAGCACCGCUGCUUUCACGAAGAGACCUUGAGCUCGGCCGCCCCAUCCUCCGUUCGGGUUUGAGGCCGAGUCCGAGUCCGGGCCCAUGUAGCUAGCAGCAACUAAGCAACCAAUUCGUUUUGGUCUCGUCUCACCACCACCACCACAUUCAACAAAUUCGUAUCAACAACAGUCAACGGAGCAGUAUCCAGUUCAAUAAUUCGCCUCUUUUUUUUUUUUUUUGAAUAAUGGGAACAUAAAGAUUUUAUGAUGAUGAAAUUGUCUGAUUUUAAUUGGAGUUUUGGCUCUUGGCGUCUGCUAGUGAAAAAUGUUUUGUGCUGUGAACCGUGUUAAGUUGUCAAGAUUUGACACGUCGCUCACUCUCUAUCGUUCUUCCGUUUUCUUCCGAUUUCCGGUUUCGUCAUCUUUGUUUAAUGGGCCGUAGUUCCUUAUGGACCAUGUAAUGUAUUUUUUUUUUUAAGAAAUAAAAAUUAUUUGUUUAAAUAAAUUAAAAUAUAGUUGAAAAUAAAUAUUCUGUUUUGUCAAGUUUCGUUUGGUGGCUUGAAAUUUGAGAAUAUUGUUAUUGAAAAAUAAAUAUUUAGUAAUCGAUAUGUAUUCUUUUUAAUUAAUAUGAAUUUUUUACAAAUAUUAAAUGAAUAUGUGUUAUGUUUACCUAUUGGAAUGAAAGUGAGGAACGUGGAUUCUUCUUAUUUUAACAUUAUUUAUAUAUUUUAAAAAAUAAAUAUUUAUUAAUUGAUAUGUCCCACUCUUUUUUCGAGUGAGGAGUGAGAUUCUCACUCCCAUAGGGAGAGGUAGCCGGUAGGAGUGGGAAUUCACUACUUCCUAUUUUUUUUACCCUUAUUUUAUUAAAUUUAACAUAAGUAUAUUUAAUAAAAUAAAUAAUAUCAUAUUUAUUUAAAUAAUAUAUUACACUAUUUUAUAGAUUAAAUUUAUUAUAAAUAAUAAUAUUAAAUUUAUUUAAAUAUAAUAGUAUUAUAUUUAGUUAAAAAUAAUAAUUUACGUUAAUUUUAAGUUAAAAUCACUUAAAAUAAUAAUAUUAUAUUUAUUUAAAAUAAUAGAACUAUAUUUAUUUAAUAUUAAUAAUAAAUAAUUUAUUUUAAGAAAACAUUAAUUUUAUACUAUAUUAUUAAUAAUGUUAUUUCAUUUGCGUUGCUCUCUGAUCAAUAAUUUUUAAUUUACAUAUUUAAAAUUAAUAAAAAAUUAUGAUUUACAUAAUUAGGAAUAUUAAUAAUUAUUAUUUACUUACAAAUAUAAUAAAAUAAAUAUUUUAUUUUUCAAAUAUAUUUUUUAAAUAAUUUUAUAAUUAAAAACUAUAAUUAUUUAAAUAAGAAUAAAACUGUAAUUUGAAACUAUUUACUCCCAAUCUAAGACAAAAUAAAUAUAUAAAUUAGAUUCUUAUUUUAAUUUCAUACUCUCAUUCCGGUAUAAGCAAAUAAUUAACUUCUACUCCACACUCUCAAUAUCAGAAUUCUUACUCUCAGAAUUCUCACUCCAAUGUAAAAUAUAAACACUACCUAAAAAAUAGUGAUAUUACUCACCUCAUUUUAUCUCACUAAUCUUGAAAUUACAACAAAGGAUAGAACUUGUGUUUGUAUUUAUAUUCCAUUUAAACCCAGCAACCAUGUACUGAUUCUUGUAUAUCUUAAGAGUCAAUUUUUUCAGAAACGAAACAUUCCAUUCAUUCGAUGGAGGGCAUAGCUAUUGGCAAGCAGUAGAACACAAUCUCAGAUUCUUGAAUUUUUUUUUUUAAAAUUUUUAUUUGUCAAAACAACCCUUUUACUCAUAUAUACUUAUAACAUAUUAUCAGCUUCUACAAAAAAUGAUAAACUUGCAUCUAAGAGGAAAGAGCAUCGACACAAAUCUGAUAUUUUUGACAGAAAAAGAGAGAAGGAUGUUAGUAAAAUGAGGUCUUAUGAGAUAAAAAUGAUAAUUUUAAAAAUAAAUGAGGUAUAAAUGAAAGUGAGGUGUUGUGAGAUAAAAGAAAAUGGGGGUUGAAUACCACUACUACUCAAAUGAUGAAUAUGAGGAGAGUGUGGUAAUCAAUUGAAUGAUGCUACUUCAAAUCUACUUAGUCAAUAAUUAAUUAAUCAUCACAAAUCGUCAGCUGGUCACCACUCACCACAAUACAAUAUUUAGUGAGUGAGUCAUAGCUUUUAAACCAAAUUCCUUUUGGAAAAAACUAGUAGCCACUGCUUAGAAGUUAAAACUCAUAAAAUUUAUUAAAAACUGAGAGAAAAUGAAGAUGAAGCAACAGAUGAAGAUGGAUAAUAAUUACAAUCACACCCUCAUAGAGAGGAGCUAGAAAGCAGAGAAAACCUCUCUAAUCAAUUUCCCAGAAGAAGAAUCAGUAACCACAGAAUUCAGCAACGGCCUUUCCUCCCCCUCAUUCCCAAAACAAUAAACAGGAGCCUGCCAUUUGGGAUCCUCGAGAACUGCUCCCACUUUAAAUGUUAUCACAUCAGCUGUGUACCCUGCAUUUGAAUUCCCACCAUUUUUCAUAAACAAAACUCGUGCUGCAAUCAAAACUUCAAAUGGGCAUUGUUCAAAUUUUCAAAUUACUAGCCAUUAAGGCCUCAGCGAGUCUGCAGAGGGGACUCGAACAUCAUUUUCCCAACUAUUAGUGGGAGCAGAUUUUCGAGUUAAUCGCGGUAUAUUUCUGAAUGGAUUUGUAGUAACUAAUUAAAAAUUAUCUAAUUUAUUUAUUUUACCUGUGUAGAAGACCCAAUGAACAGGUCUCUUAGUGACGACAUCUUCGUAGUACCAAAUGAAAUCAACUUUGGUCCACACAUUACAAAGAAACUUGUCCACGUACUUCUGGCCAAGAUACUCGGCGCCGUCGAGCCAACUGGGGCGGAGGAUGCCGACGGGGAAAUGCAAGACUCUGCAUUCCUUGUUGGCGUCCAGAGUGUAAAUGUAAGAGGUGCCGUUGUCCCAUUCAAGAUCAUACGUGAGCUUGCCGAGCUGGUUCUGGAUUAUGUUGAUGUUGCGGCCGUUGGGCCAGUCGUACCAGAGGUCCACUUUCUGAAGGGUUCCGCUGUUGUUCAUGAACAAGAUUGCGUGGAAUUGAGGCGGCCAUGGAGCUGGAACUGGAGCUGCGUCUGUUGAUUUUGAUGUAAUUAAAAAGAUUUGGAAGGAUAUGGCUAGGUGAAGAAGAAACAAGGAUUUGGGUUUGACUGUUGGGGCCAUUGUUGAUUGAAUGAGAGACAAUUUGAGGAUGAGGAGGAUUCUGGGGUUGAGCUUUUAUGAAAUCCAAAACUUUUGGAUAUUUAUAUUUUUGCCUCAUUCUUUUCCUGUAUUCCUAGUUUUACCAACCACGUUUGACAUUACUUUCAAAAUGCGAGAGAGAGCAAAAUCAAAUAUAUAACAGGGACUUUGAGAGCCAGUUUUCUCACAAUCUCACUAUGUUUUAUUAGUUUUGUUACACAGUCGAGGAGGCCAGCCCCAUCUCUAUCGAUUUCAACAAAUCCAGUUUGUUAUUUGUGUUUGAUAACUAGGGGCGAAAACAGACAAUAAUUACUAGAAAAUACAAUAUUCACUUAUUAUAGAACAACCAAGUUCUUCAAGACCUUGCAGCUUUAAUGAUAGUGUAGAAGUCACUGAUUCCCAGACAGUGGGCUGUCACGGCCUUUCUUGAAAUCAUCCCAUCCUCUUACCCAGGGCUGCCCAGGCUCUGACCGUGUCUCAGGGGAAGCGUAGCUGUUGAGGUUGUUCAUGACCUUGUUGUGCAAGGCAGAAAACACCUAUUGCAAGCAAAAACACAUGAGACGGUAUUUUCAAGGAAAAUGGGGCAAAACUUGUAAAUUAUUUUAGAUAGCGUCUCACAGGAUUUGUUUUCACUGCCUCAGGUGGUUGCUCCUGGCCAGUCAGCCACUUCCACAGAUCUGGGUUUUCCUGCAAAACAGAAAAAAUAUAUUUAAACAAAAAGUAGAUGACUCUGCUGGCUACCUCGUCUACUUGAAUCGACUACUUUUUCCAAUGGAAUCAGAAACUCUUCCCAACUUGACUAAUAACUAUUACAAUGGAGCAAAAAUGAAACAAAAUUUGAAAAUGUUGGCUUUAAAUUUAACAGUUUAAAUCAAAAGAAAUGAAGCAGCUUAGUGGAUGAUCCUAUUAUUCCUCCAUAAAAUAUAGAAAAUAUCUUAUGCAGUCAAUUUCAACAUGGAUAAGAAAAGCAGUGCAAUUCAUCCUGGUAUUAAUGUUCACUUAAUUCCUAGCUUAUCAAAUAGAAUUUUUCAAAACUAAUAGGAACUCUUUAUUAUUAGUAGAAAUACAUAUUGAAAUGAUCAAGUUAAUAAAGAGUUUCUUAGUUAUCAAAACCCAACUACGGCUUAAAACUCAGCAGUACCACCACCGCAACAAAACCAAAUCAACAAUAGUAUAGGCAAUUCAUAAUUGAUAACAUGUAACCUGUCUGACAAAACUUCUUUACAGUCGAACCUCCACUAAAAAGCUAAGCAACCAUGUAAAGAAUUCCACAUCUUUCAGCCACGACUAAUUAAAAUGGCAGGCAGGGACAAAGUUAUCACCUCCAUUGAAAGCUAAACAGAGCAUAAUAAAUUUAUUCUCAAUUUAGCACAAAUGAAUAUAGUCAUUCCAUUCAGAAGAUUAUCAAAUGAUCAAAAGAUCAAAUAAAAAAGGGCUAGAGAAUGAAAAGCAUCAAAAUACACUUAACUUGAUUUGUCUAAACUGAUUUCUAAAUCAUUCCGUGCAUACGAAAAGUCUAUAGUGAAGAAAUUAACAUAUAAUUGUCUCAUGAAAAGAGGGGGAAAAAAAGUAAAAGGUGAUUACCAAAUUAAGGACAUCAACAAGAGCUUUAAUCCCAUUUUUAUCCAUGGAAUGAAUAUGUUCUUCGACCCAUUUACCAAGAACCAAAUCCAGCUCCAGAAACCCUCUCUGCUUACUCCUAUACAAUAGCCUGUUAAACAGACGCUUUUUCUUCUCCUCGUUGGACAAAUCAAUGUCUAAAGAUUGAGUAGUAUUUGAAACCCACCUGUAUUGAGGCCUAAAACGAUUGGAACAGAGAUCAUCAUCACCAUCAGAUAUCAAUUGCAUUGCAAAUAUAAAGAAAAAACAAAAAAAGGGGAAAAAAGAGCAAAUAUUACAAGAAAAAGAAAAGAAAAGAUGACAGGUGGAGAGGGGUUUACCUGAGAAGGGUUUCAAAGGAAGCCGCUGGAGAAGCAGACGCAAUCGAGCUGCGAUUGGCUACUGCGGAGGAUCUGAGAAUACGGUGGACGUUAAUCACUGCUCUUCGUAAGCUCGCCAUGUUCUUGUUGAAUGGUCUCUGAGAAAAAUAAAAUUUUCAGAAAUAACAUACUCGCAAGCAAGCAUGUACCGUAUAUAAAGAAACCAAUUUGUUGGACCGUGGCCCCUUUUUAUCCACAUGGCACUGGUUGUUCGGUACUUUUUUGGAGUUAGCAAUUGGCAUGCUAAUUGCCAUUUGAUUUUGGGCGAAACUUAUGUUACAUUUAAAAAAUUUUAAAUCCUUCGAAAAGAUAAUAAUUAUUAGAAACGUCAAUAAGUUUUUAAGUUUCACUUUAAACCCAGGCUGCAGCCAGGCAAUAGUACUACUAGAAGUUUAAUUUUUUUUUUUAAGUUUUCUAUUUAUAUUUAUAGUAAAUUUAGUACCAAAUUGCUCAAUAAUUCAUUCUAUUUUAUUUAAUUGAAUCUCUAAUUUGUUUAAUCUUAUAUCUAUUGAGUUUUUAUUCAUUUUAUUAAUGAUCUACUAUUUUAAUAGAUCAUGAUCUUCAAUCUUGAAUUCUUUUAUUAGUUGUUUAACUUUAUUAAAUUCUUUCCUCAGUUAAUCUCUUAACUUUUUUAAUUUAUUUUAUAUUUUCUUCAUUGAAAUUAUUAAUUUCUAAUAUUUUCUUUACACUUUUUAUAUCAUUUAUAGAUAAAUUUGGGUUUCUUAAUUUAUUUAAUAAUAUAGUGAUAUUCAAUUUAAUUGAUUAUUUCUCCACGUCUGAAUCAUUGAUCAGAUCAAAUGGUUGAAAUCUUCCAUAGUAAAAUCAUUUUUGCAUAUAGAUAAAAGGUGGUAAUUUAUUAGUUUCUAUAUUUUAUGAAAUUAUUAGAGGUUCUAGUAAUUUAUUCAUUGUACCAUGUUUCUAAUAAUUCAUUAGAUUCAUAAGAUAUUUAUCUCAUGUAAUAUCUCUUAUAAUUCAAGAUACUAAAUUUAGAUUACAAAAUAUAUGUGACAACAUUGAUGAUAUGUACUAGGAUGGGAAAAUAGAUUGAAUGUGUGUGUGUGUUAGAAGAAAAAUCUAGUCUAUAUCUCAACAAAGACAAGAAAUUAUAAAUACAGGUGUACAAAUAUAUUCAAAAUUUGUAGAUCUUUAUGAUUAUAAUAAUCAUUUAGAUCUUUAUAAAAAUCUAGUAAACGCUUUAUAAAGUUUUAAAAAUUUAUGUAGAAGAGAUGGGCGACAAAACCGUUUAAUUAUGCAAAAUCAAUAGGGACUUAUUUGAAAAAAAAAAAGUAAAUAUGUGAUUAAAAAAGAAAUUUUCUGUAAAUUACUAUUACACAUGUACCUCAUUUUACGUUAAAAUUGUUUUCAUCCAUUGGAUUUAAGAAAUAUCAAAAUCAAUGAUUUAUGUGCAUUGAAUGUUUGUUAAAUUGUUUGUAAGAUAAGCUUUGCCUUGAUUUUGAGGCAUCAUGUAGCAAGACAUUAUUUUGAAUUUUGACACAAACCUAGCCAUCUUUAUUUGCUUUUCAGUCUUGCGGACAACCUUUAUUUUCUCAAUUCUCUGUCUGACUCGAAAGCUUUGCUAUUAAUUCAGUAUAAAUUGUUUUAUAGUUAUGGAGUCCCGAUGAUUUUCGAGAAGCUAACAAACUUCCUUCAACUGGCUCCCGAGGGUUCAAUGGAAGACUAAAUUUAGUACAAAUUUGUUCACCGUCGAGCAAUUUGGACUAAAGUUGAAAGAAAUACUCUUCCCAACUAGAGUCAUUGGUAAAUUUUCUGUCUAAUACAUGUUGGCACUUUGUCAUGCUCCUUAUUCGUAAAGUAAAGAAAAAAAUAUUUUCAAUCAUAUGCAAAGUAUAUAUGUUUCCCCUGUAUUUAUCAUCGAUCAAUCUCACCACCUAGAAAACUCAGCAAUACACCAAAGCCAAAACAUAGGCAUGUGGCAUCCAUGGAAGCAAAAAAAAAAACAUCAAAAUCAUGUUGAGGAAACGCUCGUGCUUCGUGCUUCAAAAUAUCAGCAAAACUCUUUAAAAACAAUAAGAAAAGAUUUUGAUGUGAUACAUUAGCCUAAAUAAGAACAUGAAAGACAAAUUAAAUUAGGAGGAGGCCCUCACAAUGUAAUCUACCCAAGUUAUAACUGUUUUAGUCAGAGAGGAGAAUUGCAAGCAUGAAGAAUGCCGUAAACAUAUAUUUCAUUUUGAGGAAUUGCAAAGAAUCUGAUACUCUACAUACUUCUGCAUUUAGCGCUUGAAGUACCAUUCCGUAGAGGUUCAAACAAAAACAUGCACCCAUCACUUUGUCUCCAUCCUAACACCAAUAAUCCACGAAACAAUAUCUUCAUUAAAUAAGGCAGUUUGCAGAAACUCUAAUUUUGCUGUUGCUUUUUGUGGACUAGUUCUCAUCUCCAAUAGUCUUUAGCCCAGUUGCCUCAAAAGCUUAUCUCACGUCUCUCGCCAAAAAAUUUUCCUGUUAUUGCCUGGUCUGGAAGCAGAGCAAGCCAUACACCCGUGUCAGCACCGUCCUCAGCUGAAAUAUUACCAGCCCAACCUGUCAUAGCAGUCUUCACCCAGCCUGGGCAGAAGCAGUUGAUGUAAAUCUUCUCACCAUCAGGGCGGUCAGAGAGUAUCUUCCCCAUUAGUCUUGUAUAAGCAUUAACUGCAAGUUUUGACAUUGAGUAAUCGGUAUAUGUUUGAGGCCAUCCACCAGAUUGCCAAGUGCCAUCUUCAACUUGUUGUAGAAAAGUAUUAACAGUCCUAUCAAUUACUUCCUCAGAGAGAUCGUCCAAAUCACCUAGUUGCUCUCUCAAUGUUAAGUCCCUGAGUCUCUGUAUGAAUGAACCUAAAUUAGCCCUCAGUGUAGAUUGAAGAAUGAGUGGCAAAUGUCUAACCAGUAGAGAUAUGAAAAUACUAUAUCAAGUUAAAUGAUAAGAACAAUAACUGUUUUCCCGUUUAAAAUUGCAGCAAAAGCGGUCCAAGUCCGCCACUUGUCUUCCUUGAUGGCAAGUUUCCAAACAAAAACAGGUUGGAGUCUAUGUGGAACCAAGUGGGCAUCUACCAUCUUUUAAAUUUAAGUAGUUAGUUGAUUAUAUAUAUAUUUUAGAAGAAACAGUGGCAUCUACCAUUAACCACUUGGCAAUGCUUGAACUGAAAACAGUUUAAAGAAUAGCCCAUGGCAAACCCUGCAAUUGCAUGCACCAUUAUCUACAAAGCAUUGCUGACGCCUGAAGCGCUGCAAGUUUUCUAACAAAGCAAACAGAACUAGACCCAAAAGAAGUGUUAAAGAACUUGAAAUCAUGCCAUAAAAGUUACAGAUGCAGAGUAGCCAUCUUCCUUGGAGAAAAUAAACAAAAUGAUACAGAGAUUCAGUAGCAUGGACAAGCUAUGCAGGGACAACAAGGGGCUAUCGGCCCUUAUGGGAUUCUAAAUAUUUUACUUCAUACUGAACCAUAGUUUCUCCUACAAUUAUGGAUUUCUGUUUCCUAGUUGUCCCCUUCUCAAACGAUCUAUAUACACGGUAAGCUUAAAUUAUGCAUGCUCCGUCAUAUAUUUAACACUAGUGUGCAUAUUGCAACUAAUAUUUGGGAUGCAUUACACAAUAAUUUUACAAUAUAUCCAUAGUGCUUGUCACAUUACCUUUGACUUUAUCAAUUGCAUUGCUACCAGAGAUAGUGCAUUAUUAACUAUGAUACUGUAAAGAAUUCAAUUUGAAAUCAAAUUAACAAUCGAUAAUGAAUCACAAUAUGGUCAAAUAAAAAAUAAAGAGAUUCGUACUAGCUUUGAAAUGGGAAAAUAAAUAAUGAAUGAAUGAUUUAGUUUUUUUUUUUAUUAAUUUAUCUUUUAUCAAAUUCUCUUUUAUGUUUAUUACUGUGAGGUUGGCCCUCUGGAAAAAUUCACAGCUCUGGUUCAGAAAUGCAAAAUACAAUAGGAGAGAGGGAAAUAAGAGAGAUUACUCACGUUACGCCUGCCAUUUAGUCUACCGAGCCGAGAGCUCACACUAACAAUACGAGCACCAGCAGCAGAAGGUCGCAUUAACGGGAUCAUAGCUUUAAUCAUAGCUUUGGUGCCAUAAUAAUUGGUUUGAAUAACUUCUUUGGCAAAUUCAACAGAAUUAUCAGAACCAAGAUUGUAAUUGACACCUGCAUUAUUAACCUAAAACAAAAAUGACAUAUUCAUUUCAACAUAAGCGAGUUCAUUUAAUAUAAUUGAAUUGAAGAUGGCGUUACGGGCAAGUUAACACUAACCAGAAUAUCAAUGCCACCAUAUCUUUCACGGAUCCAAUCACAAAACUCUUGGAUUGACGACGAGUCUAAGACAUCAAGUUGAUGAACAUCCACAUUCAAGCCUCCUUCUUGCAAGACCUUAGCAGCCUCGAGGCCAACACUAGUGUCUCUCGACGUCAAUAUAACAGUCAAACCCUGCGCAGCGAGUUGCCUAGCCAUCUCAAACCCAAUUCCCCUGUUAGCACCAGUCACCACCGCAAUAGUUUCCGGGGACCACCAUCUAUUACAAAAUUUCCAAACACACCCAUUAGAGGAAAUUAAACAAUAUUUCAAAUUUUAGUUACAAAAAUAAAAAUGUUGAAAUGGGCACGCACCUCUGGUGAUCGGAAUAGGGAAUGGUGCGGAGGAGGGAAAUUUCUUGGAGUCUCUUUUCUCUUCUUUCCUUUGCUUUUUCAUGUUUUCCAGUCAUUUUUCUUUUUUUUUUUUUGGGUCAAAAAAAAAACUUUGGAGGAUCGAGCGAGAAAGAAGAAAAGAAAAAGAAAAAGAAGGGGAAAAAAACUGAACUCUGGUUUUGGGUAAGAUAAUUGGAGCAGGCUCCCGGCUCAAUAGGGGAUAGUAGAGCCUUUGACACGUUGUUGGUUAAGUGGUUCGAGCUUUAAUUUAGGUCAAAUUUCGCCAUUCUUGGGGAUUUCAGUUUCACUUCCGCCUUUGUAGCCUCUCCAAAGUGGGAUGCUGUUGCUAUCAUUCUUCUUUUGUUUUUGCGCGACGUGUUUAUGCGGGUCAUUUGGCAUUUUCUAAUUUGUUUGUAGCUUGUGUAAACUUUUCACACCGUUAUCACUUGUUAUUAAUAUGAAGUGUAAACUUGUGUGGACGCACCAUCUCACUACGAUGCCUUAGUGUGCAAGAUUUAUAGAAUUUUAUAGUUAGGACUUGCAAUUUCUUUAAUUUUAAAUGUUAGGAAUCACAGGGUAUUUAAUUCUUGAGAAUUACAUUUUAAGGUCUACCAAGCUUAUUAAAUCAUAGAUCUUAAUUAAUCAAUAUAUUAUCUCAACAUGCUAGAGGAGAGAAGAAAUUUUAAGAGAAAUUCUAAAAUAACUCAGAUGUAUUACGAUCAAUAAAUGCAUGCAUGACAUAUGUAGUUAAAUUUAAUACAAUCAUCACUUAUAUGAUGGUUUUUAAAAAUAAAUACACACAUGUCAUGACAUUAUUUAUUUGUUGUAUGAUUGACAUGGUACCUUAGAUAUAUUGUAGAAUUUCUCAAAUUUUAGAAUACAUCAAAAGUGUCAUAUCAGUUAUACAAUAAAUAAAUUAUGUUAUGAUAUAUGUGUGUGUAAUGUAAAAAGCCAUCAUACAAAUAAUAAUUGUUUUAAAUCUAAAAAUAUAUGUCAUACAUACAUUAAUUGAUUGUAUUAAUUCCGAUGUAUUAUAAAAUUUGUCUAAAGUGAGAAUACUUACAUUUGCGCAAUUAUAGAAAGCAGAGUUCUUACUUAGCUGUUGGAACUCAAAGACACAGACACUCUCAACUUUUGUUAUGAGGGUGGGUUAGAGCGCAAUGGCGUAAGUGGACAAUCAACUAACUUUGGCAUCAAGAUUCAAGAGUAAUGACAUGGGGGCUUAGUGUAAAUAUACAAUGAAGGAGGCACUAUACAGGCUGUCAAUGAAUAAUGGGAAGAUGAAAUUUACUUAUAGAGUUUUACUAUUGGCACCUUUAAAUAUCUUUUGAAACCCCUUUUCUUUAUCUAUCCCAUUAUAAUUAUUUGAAAAUUAUAAAACUCUUAUGGCACAGUUUUAGUUCCAAAAAUAACCUUUAUUUCUUAUUGAGUUUACACCCCCUUCUUUCUCUUCACAUCUUGCUCCCCUCCCCCCCCCACCCCCUCCGGCUCAACUCUUUUUUACGGUGAUGAACAAAUUGGACUUUAUGACCAUAAUACUAUAAUUACCAAAAAAAAAAAAAGAUUCAAUGAGAAUGAUGCAAUUGAUCGGUACUCUUGAUUUUUUUUUUUUUUUGGCUUUUUUAAGUAAACUUGAAAGUUUCAUUACUGACCAUAAUAGCAAUACGAAAGAAAUUAAAAGUAGAAUGUUGCCGAAUUUCUUUUUGUAAUCAUUUUAUUUUUCUAAAUUAAUUCGGAUGGGGAAGGAGGCAAAUCGGAGAGAACAAUAAAAAUCAUUAGCUUUGAAAAAAUCUAUCGAUUUACUGCUGGAUGCCAUGCCUUUUGAAGCCUCCACAACAUUAAAUCUUUUUUACAGUAUCAAAGUUCAUAUUUUGUGCUUUAAUUGUCGUUGUUUGUGGAAGUGAUUUCACAUCACCCCCUUCAUUUCUCCUUUGUAAAUCCACCUCCUGUCUUUACGUGAUUUUGUGGAAUCAAAAUCUGUUUCUUUUUUUCCUUUUUCACAUUUAAAUAAGGUCAUGAAUACUUUGGAGUUACUCUAAGUUAAAACACAAAUUAUAGCCGCACACGCAAAAUAAUAAAUAAUGAAAAAUACGUUAUAAUUUUGAUCGUGUGGUUAUGAAAGAAUGCUUUACCUUUGGAACGGUUCCAACAUAGCUGGAUCCACAUGUAAUAACUGCAUAGUCUACGGUAAAUUCUUAUUUGUCAAAGAAGGGAGUUGAAUGAUGAAAUGAGAAUAAAUUUAUCAUUUUAUGUAAUCUUAUGAAGUGAUGAACUUGUAUGUAAUGCAGGUUUUAAAUUGGACGCUAGAGGUGUGUCAAUAGCGCCGCCCUUGCCCAUGUAAUUUCAAAUCAAUUAACAGCACAGAGUACAAACAUGUAGGGUUGGUGAAAAAGAGCCAAAUUAGGGUGUUCUAUCUAGCCUAUUUUAGGGUGUUGUGUUCUAAGGCCGGGCUGUAUAUGUGUUGGCCCGCUUGGAGAGUCCCAAUCUCCCAGACCCGGGCUUCAAUCAGAAAGAUUGAGCAUGGGCUGACUCUUGGACGUUAACUUUUUAACACCCUUCCAAAAUUCUAAUAGCACCCCUUUAGUUGCAAACGAGUUAUUCUUUUAGGAAAUUCAUUUUUAGGCAACUGUAAGUUAAAUUACUUUUCCGGCUGCCUUCACUUUAUUCAAUAAAUAACAGUGCAAAGAAUUAAUAAAAAGUCUACAGCAAACAUAUAGACCAAAUUUACAUUUAAUUCAAUGCUGGAGCUGGACAAUUGGAUAAACCAAUGAAGUUUAAGUACGGUUCAUAUCUACAUGUCCCAUCCGAUGAAUAUUUAAGUACGGUCCAUAUCUGGGGCCAUGUAUUAAUAGGUCUCCUUCUAUCUAAUGAAUUUUUUUGAAUUUUUUUUUUCUAAAUAGGGGAGCGAGAAAAGAACGACCUCGCAUAAGAUAAAUGAAAGAACAAUCAAGAAUCAUCAUUCCAUUAUCCAAUUUUUCUUGCCGUAGCCAGAACGCUUGACUAAGUAGCGACAUAAGAUAAAUGGAAGAACGAUCAAGCUGAUAUGGCUAUUUUGUCAUUAUUGCUUUUCUUGACUAUCACAUUUAUGUCGAUGCUCCAACUUUCAAUUUCUUCAACAUUUAGCUUUUCUAGAAGCAACAGUACAUACUCUACUGAUGCGACAAAAGGAUUAAAAAAAAAAAAUGCUCGUUGCGUCACUGCUUAGGCCAUUCUAAAUCUUCAGUUCUCUGUCUGAAGUCUAUCACUUGGUGCAAAAUAGUUAAAUUUUCACCAUUUAGACUAGGGAUGGCAAUGGGCACCGUCCGCAGCGGGUUUGCCAUUACCAAACCCAAAUCCGCAUAAAAUUUAAAUUACCAACCCCACCCGCAACCCGCAGCGGAUUUUAAUUUUUUUACAAAAACCCACCCGCAGCGGGUUUUAACAAUUACUAAACCCGCAAUGGUAUCCGACGGAUUUUUUGCGGGUUUCCGUAUUUAAAAUCACAAAUGUUUAAUAUAUAAAUUUAUAAUCAUAACUUUAAAUUUCAUAUAACAUACUCAAUUUUAUAUUUAAAUAAUGUAAAUGAAAAAUUAAAAUUUCCACAUCAAUUCAACAUAAAUUCUCAAAUUUAAGUAUAAAUUACACAAAUCCAUUUAAAAAACACAAACUAGUAUCUAAAAAUAAUAAUUACAUUUCAUAUUAUCAUUUAAAACAAGCUCCAAGAGAAGAUAUUCAUUUCAUUCACCACCAUAAGCACCCAUCCAACACAAUGCUUAUAAUAAUAAUUAAGAUUAAUAUUUUCAAAUACUAAUUCGAAGGAAAAUACAUUUAGUUUUCUUUAGAUUAUGACUUUAGAAUAGGAUAUAGGCCACAUACACACAUAAACAACUUUGAGCCUUUGGCUAUUUGGUAAUUUAAUUAAUGACAUUAUUUUCUUUAUACAUUUUUAGAUUAAAAUUAAAUUAAAAAUAUUUGAAAAAAAUAUUACGGGUUUGGUGGAUAUCCAUGCGGGUAUCCACCGGAUAUAAGGUUAAUACCAAACCCACCCGCAUCCAUGUGCGGGUUUUAAUUUAUAAUACUAAACCCGCCCGCAACGGGUAAAAUUAUCCGUAACGGACGGGUUUAGACGGGUUUGCGGGUACAAUUGCCAUCCCUAAUUUAGACCAUACGAUAAUCGGACACGUGGAUGAUCCUGUGACUACCACAUUUUUCCAAGUCACGUAGCGGGCCAUUUAUAUUAGUUAAUUCAUUUGUGAAUGUAAUGAGAAAGAACUAAGGCGACGCACACUAGCAGGAGCUGAAACUUUCAGUCUUUCACUGUCUGAAAAGGCCGUUGACCAUUCAAUCUGCGUACGUUCUUUGUUCUCAAAUUUUAUCGUUUGUUUUCAUUUUUCGUUCAUGUCAAGUUUCUGUAUUUUUAUACGAUUAAAUGAUCACUCAUUCGCAGGUUUUGCUUUUACCUGACGCUUUUCAAUAGUUUUAUGCACUCUAGUAUUUGCGAUAUAUCUUUCUGCUGGUGCUUGAUGACCCAAGUUGCAUGUGAACGGAUUAGAUAUUCAUUUUAGUUUGUUAAUCAGUCAAAUAUCGUAGGCCCCCUCUGUUAUUACCGCGGUGAUUGCUAGGAACAGUUGAGAGUCUUUUCAAACUUUUCCAAGCAUGUGUCAAAAUAGAUUGAGCUUGUACGUGAGAUAGCUGGAUUUUAUUUGCUUACAAACCUUUUUUGGGAUUAUUUAAAAAUUACAAUUACUGACCUGGUUUCGGAUAUACGAGAGUUGUUUGCUGUUAUCCAAUUUAUUUUGGUUGGAGCACGUUUUAACUGACACAAAGCCGGAAAUACCAGUUCAAUCUCAGUAACCUCUAUAAUUUGUCUCAAAUACGUUGUGUUUAGUUAUUUAUGUUCUUGGAUUUCCAGUUCAUUUAUGGCUUAACUGAUAUAAGAAAGCUGACAGGGAUAUGAGAAAUUUUUCUCAAGGAUGGAAGAUUCUGGUAGCCAUUUUUCUGUUGGGAUUAAGCUUUCCAUACUCACAAGGUUAUAAUGUCAAAUCUAAAGUCUUUUUGUCACCUAAGUUUGUGCUGGGGCCAGGAUCCGUUGAUAAUAAAUUUUACUAUGGGAUUGACUUUCCGAGAGGUCAUAUUGCUCUAAAGAGUUUUAAUGCAGAAGUAAUUGAUGAGGCAGGAUAUCCCGUUCCUCUUCACGAGACUUAUCUCCACCAUUGGGUCGUUGAAAGAUACUAUGGACGUAAAGAUGCAGAAGUACUGGAGUAUAAUGGCAACAGACUUCUUCGUGAAUCAGAUUACAUUUCAGCGAGAAAUGAUGGCAUAUGCCAGAGGAAUUGUCUUGGGCAGUUUUUUGGCCUUGGCUCUGAGACACGAGGAACAGCAACUCAUAUUCCAGAUCCUUAUGGUAUAGAAAUUGGCAAUCCUGCUACAAUUCCUGCAGGCUAUGAAGAGAGAUGGGUUCUUAAUGUCCAUGCAAUUGAUACACGAGGUGUCGAAGAUAGGUUGGGAUGCACUGAAUGCAAGUGCGAUUUGUACAAUGUUACAGUGGAUGAGUAUGGCCAGCUGCUAAGGCCAAAUUACAGAGGUGGUUUUGCGUGUUGUUACGAUGGUACUCAGUGUAGAGUGAAAAAUGGUUUUGAAGGUGCCAGGAGGAGCCUCUAUUUGAGAUAUACCGUAAAGUGGGUUGAUUGGGACACUUCCAUUGUGCCUGUUAAAAUCUACAUAUUUGAUGUCACUGACAAUGAAACACGGUUUAGUGAUUCCACUAGAUUCAGCAUACAGCAUCAUUGCCAGGUAAGUGAAAUUCUUUUUACAAAACUCUCCAAGCUGAAACAGAAAUUAAUUUUAUUUGGGACGUUCAGUGGAAUAGCCUUGGCAUUACUUUCUUCAUCUUUUAUGGUUCAUUGAACUAGGUUGUUAUAUAAUCAUUUAAUGCUUGUUUUGGUGCAUUACUGGAAAAAUGGAAUUGACUCACUGAUGCAAUGAACACAAAGUUGGAAUCUGCAUAAAGCUAAUCGUAAUUUUCUGGAAAAAUUUCUUCGGGCUUAGAGUCCUCUUUGACGGCAUACUAUAUGUGUGUAUGAAAUGACUUGCGUUGAAGAUAUUUUUUGUUUAAUGUGGAGGAGUUUUUAUUAAAUGUGCACAAAUUUAUAGACAUUCAAGAGCACAUAAGCACAAACACUUACUUCAGCCCUUAAAUUUGAUAAUCAAUAGUGUAAACGUUUUGAUUUGUGAUUUUCUUGCAACUCUUAGUGACUUAAUUUCUUCACAAUGGUGGACCCAUCGGAAUAUCUCUGAUUGCAGAUUGAAUAUUCUGUUGAGCCCUGUAAAGCCAGUGAUGUGGCUGAUAAUGGGUGUGUCCACACCAAAAGGACCAGUGUCACGAUGCCAACCAGUGGUUACAUCAUCUAUGGCGUUGCCCAUCAGCACUCAGGGGGCAUUGGUGCAGCUCUAUACAGAGAGGUGAAUUCAAUAUCUAAUUUGCAUUCACGUGGCAUGCCUUUUCUUUUGUCUGUGUUCUACUUUCCAUUUUAAUUUUAUCAUUCUUAUCUGCUAGGUUGGUGGUAAACUGGUGAUAUAUGAAGACGUGUACUAGUUCUUGAUCUUUUUAAUUUUCUUGUUAGAUUAUGCUUUGAAAGUUAUUGUUUCUUUAACUGCAAAAGAAUUGUCAGAAUGUUUUAAGAUUAUGUAAAUGUUUACAACAUUAAUUAGAUGUUGAGGACGUGUGAGUGUGACAUUAUCAUAUUUCCAAAGUAGACUAUUUUUUAGCUUCUAGCUGCUUGAUUUGUUUGUCAUCCUCAAAGUUUCGAUAACAUUGAUGUUUUAUAUAUAGUGUUAUGGUCCCUGAAAUUGGCUGGAUGUUUUCCCUUUUUCUUUUGAAGAACAAUUCUUCAUUAUUCAUUUUAUGUAAUUUUUUCAGAACCCAGUGUGAUGAUUGUGGAAGGAAUUUGAUUCCCUAUGUCUUCUUUCAUUGAUAUGCUUGUUUUUGGUGAAAUCAGGAUGGACAACUUAUGUGCUCUUCAAUUCCAGCUUAUGGAAAUGGGAAGGAAGCUGGAAACGAGGCUGGAUAUAUUGUAGGAAUGUCGACCUGUUAUCCUAAACCAGGCUUCCUCAGGAUAACAGAUAAGGAAACUCUGAUUGUGGAAUCUAACUACAGCAGCUCCCGCGAUCACACAGGAGUUAUGGGGCUUUUCUACAUUUUGGUUGCAGACAGGGUGCCUGAGUCCAGUUCAUUCUUAGAUGUUUUCAGCAAGGUAAGAUUCCCUUUUCAUAUUUUUAGAUAGUGAGUUCGGCAAUACAAUUUAUUAUGCUUGUGAGCACAUGCGAAGAUACCGGAGAGCAAAAAACUUAUUCUAGAAUUGAGGAGGAAUAUUGUCUUACCUCUUUGAUUAUCGAAAUGGUAUAGAGAAUGGAUUAUAGACGGUCGUUUUGAUUAGUGUUGAUGAGAAGAUUAUUAUUUGCUGGAGUAGAAACUGUUUAAUAUGAUUCUUAGGCGAUAAUAGAACUAUAAUCCUCUUCUUGAUUUUAGCAAGAAACACCAAGCCUCUGAUAAGUGAUAACUGCAUGGUUUUUGCAGAUGUACAAUGAUAUAAACCAUUCUGCUUUUGUUUGGGGAGCAUUUGUUUUAGCUGGAGUUGCUGUCAUUGCUGCCGCUGUGGGUUACAGGCGUAGGAAUAAGUACGAAGAUGGAUACCAACCAAUUAUGAUCUGAACUUGUUCUUAUGAGGCUUAGCCAUGUGUAUUAGACAGAAAUAAUGUUAGCUCUGUACCAUAUGUUAUUGAAACUCUCGUUUCCCUUUGCUAGACGAGUGUGAAUAAACCCGGGCGACUCACAGUCUGCUGUGGACCAAUGUGGGUUAUGGUCUAGCCCAAUAUUAAUGCCAUUACUGUUGUUAGUAAUUGGAACUGUGUGAUUUAUGUGAUCCUUUGUUGGACUUUUAUGUCCAUUUCUUUCAUUUUCUCUACGACUCCUGUAGCUGGUUGUGUUCAACACUAUGUUGACAUUUGUAAGGGACCUGUCCUAAGUUGAGAAAAUGCAAAGCAUUAUUGGGUCGCUAUUUCCUGUGGCAGCUGCCAAGUUUGAGUAUCUUCGCCUUAGAGGAACCACAUAUGUUACUUUUUUUUAUAAAAAAAAAAAAUUAUUUCAUGUUUUUAUUCUGCAUGUGUGUUAUUUAAUAAUAAUCGUUGAAAGAACUGUUUUAAAUAUUUUACUUCAUCAUAGUUUCUCCUACAAUUAUGGAUCUCUGUUUCCUAGUUUUCCCCUUCUCAAACGAUCUAUAUACACGGUAAGCUUAAAGUAUGCAUGCUUCGUCAUAUAUUUAACACAAGUGUGCAUAUUGCAACUAAUAUUUUGGGAUGCAUCACACAAUAAUUUUACAAUAUAUCCAUAGUGCUUUGUGACAUUACCUUUGACUUUUAUCAAUUGCAUUGCUACCAGAGAUAGUGCAUUAUUAACUAUGAUACUGUAAAGAAUUCAAUUUGAAAUCAAAUUAACAAUCGACAAUGAAUCAUAAUAUGGUCAAAUAAAAAAUAAAGAGAUACGUACUAGCUUUGAAAUGGGAAAAUAAAUCAUGAACGAAUGAUUUAGUUUUUUUUUUUUUAAAUUUUUCUUUCCUCUCUCUUUCUCUUCCACUAUGAGUUCUCUCCGUCGUCAACUCUUUUUAUGGUGAUGAACAAAUUGGACUUUAUGACCAUAACAUUAUAAUUACAAAUAAUAAUAAUAAUAAUAAUAAUAAUAAUAAUAAUAAAUAAGAUUCAAUGAGAAUGAUGCAAUUGAUUGGUAUUCUUGAUUAUUAUUAUUAUUAUUAUUUUUUGCUUCUUUAACUAAACUUAAAAGUUUCAUUACUAACCACAACAACAAUAUGAAAGAAAUUAGAAUGUUGCGGAAUUUCUUUUUUGUAAUUGUUUUAUUUUUCUAAAUUAAUUCGGAUGGGGACGAAGGCAAAUGGAAGAGAACAAUAAAAAUCAUUGGCUCUGAAAAUAUUUUUCUGUAGGAUGCCCUGCCUUCUGAAACCUCCUCAACGUUAAAUCUUUUUUUUGUUUUUAUAGUAUCAGAGUUCAGAUUUUGUGCUUUAAUUGCCGUUGCUUUGUGGAAGUCAUUUCUCCUUCGCAUAUCCACCUCCUGCCUUCAAGUGAUUUUUGUGGGACCAAAAUCUUUUUCCUUUUUCACAUUUAAUAUAAUAACUGCAUGGUCUGUUGUAAAUUUUUAAUUGUCGAAGAAGGGAGUUGAAUGAUGAAAUGAGAAUAAAUUUAUCAUUUAUGUAAUCUUAUGAAGUGAUGAACUUGUACCAUUGUAUGUAAUUGGGGUUUUAAAUUGGAUAUUAGCACCACCCUCAUGUGCUUACAGAUUAAUUAACAGCACAAACACGUGGGCUUGGUGAAAAAGAGCAUAAGCUAGGUCUAGCUUAUUUGAGGGUGUUCUUAGGCCGGGCUUCACAUGUGUUGGCCCGCUUGGACCCAGACCUGGGCUUCAAUCAGAAAGCCUGAGCAUGGCCUGACUCUCGGACGUUAAAUUUUUAACACCCCUGUAAAAUUCUAAUAGCGCCUCUUCAGUUACAAACUGGUUAUUCUUUUAGGAAAUUUAUUUAAAACCAAAUUACUAAAUAAAAAGUCAAUAAAUAACUGUAAGUUAAAUUACUUGACCGUAGGGAUGGCAAAAUAAUCUAGGCCCGGUUUGGAUCCGGAUGAUCCGGGCCGGGUUCAACCUGUACCGCAUUUAAAUAAUAUGUGGGUUUGGUAUUAAUUUUUUAAAACCCGGACAUAUCCAGGUUUAGUUCCGGGUUCAACUGAACCAGUAUGUCCGGAACCCAGACCCGGAUAUAUUUAUAUUCAAUAUACGUAUAAAAAAAAUGUAUGGAAAAAGAACAAAACCCUAGUUUGCACUUUUGGCUUUUAACUCAAACCGGCCACCACCAUUUCAUCUCUUUUUCAUCUCCCAAAAAUUCAUCAAUUCACAGCCACCACCAUUUCCUCUCAUUUUCAUCUCCCAAACUCACCAAUUUAAAUCAUCAUCAUCAAAUCAUUAUCAAUCAUCAUCAAAGGCUUGAAUUCUCAAUAUCUCCUAAACUCAUUCACGGUCACGGCUGGCAACAGAAUAUCAUGCACACGAAGUGACGAAUUGGGAUUCAUGGACGUAGACGAAGCAAUGACCAACUAUACAAAUUUACUGGAUUUUCAUUCCCUGUCGCCAUUUGUGUUCUAUUUUACUAUUAGUUUAGCUUUUGUUUGAUGAUGACAAGCUGACAAUCACAAAAUUUGGGUUUUGUUUUGCAUUUUUGCUUCAUUGUUUUGUUAUAUUCUUUAAUCAAUUUCUUCUGUUUGAUUUAAAUAUUAUUCCUAUUUUCGCAUUGAAGCAAUCAGUGAUGGAAAAAAGUUGCAAGUUCAACACUCAGUGCCUUACCUCUGUUUUUACAUUCUGAAACAAGCCUAAAAAUGGUGCCCAUCUGGGUUCAAAACCCGGAAUCCGAAAACCUGGAUUUUUCUGGGUUGAACCCGGACCCGGACCCAGGUGAAAAAAUCCGGGUUAAAACCCGGGUCCGGGAGAAGAAAAUGGCAUUCGGGUCCGAAAUCGGGAAGGCUAAACCCGAACCUGGACUCGAAUUUUGCCAUCCCUACUUGACUGGUUGCUUUCACUUUAUUCAAUAAAUAAUUGAGUAGAGCAGGGGCGCAUCUAGGAUUUUAAAGUAUCCCCGGUUAAAUUUUUUUUUUAAAGUUAUAUUAUAAAGAAAACAUAAAAUUUUAUAAAAAAAUAAAAUACACAUAAUAAGAUGAGAAUAUUAGAAAUCUUACACCAAAUAAUAAUUACUUUAAACAAAAUAAUUUUAUAAAAAUGUAAUUCAAAAUAAAAAUAUAACUAAAAUUUUAUUUUUCGCAGCUUCAAACAAUAGAAUUCAUCAAUUAUGGAUUUUGAAUCAAUAGUAUCUGACUACUUGGUAGCUACUAUUGAGGUUUUUAACCGCAACCUAUUCUCUAAGGGCUCAUUUGGUUUAAGUAUAAAAUGAUGAGAUUGGACAAUUUUAGGAUAAAAUUAUCCUAAUGCAGUGUUCGGUAACCAAAAAUAAUUGUGGGAUAAAAUUAGUGGAGCCCACCAUUUAGUCCAAACAAUGUCAAAAUUUUAUCACAAGGGGGAGUGUGGGAUAAGCUAAAACUUAGCCAUAGGAUAAGAAAAAAAAAAGCCCAAAAUUCCUCUCUAUCCCUCUCAUAAUUCCUGUUAUGUUUAUAAUGAUAUUAUUUAGUAAAAUAUAAGUUUAAAACUAUAACAUGUUAAAUAUAAAAAAUUAAGGGAAGAAUUUGUAUUUUUUAACAAAUUUACCAAUAAUUACUAAUUUAAUUUAGAUUAUAUUUCAUGUCAUUUUAAAAUAAAUCUAAAGUAAUUUUGAUAAAUUAAUAUAUAUGACAUAUUAUUAGUUACUAGUCAAUCUCAUGUCAUACCAAACAUAAGGCAUGAUUAUUUAUAGUCCAAUCCAACAUUGCACCAAACAUAAUAUAGUAUUAUAUAUAAUCUAGUGUUAUCCAAUUCAAUCAUAUCUUAUCUAAUUCGAUCCGAUCCAAUCCAAUCCAAUCCGGCAUACCAAAUGAGCCCUAAAACAUUGUUGUGAAGAUUGUGCAUUUAUUUAUUUUUUUAUCAAUAUGUUUAAAUGGGUCCUUUAACUUGCUUCAUCUACUACUUGGAUUUAUUGGACAUUAUAGCCUAUAAAAUACCAUAACAUGAAACUAAAGAAGAAUUAAUAAAUUAAUUAAUAAUUACAAGCUUAAUUAGCAUGCUUAAAUAAAUUAAACAAUUCAAUUUUGUUAAUCUUUUAUAUUUAAAAAAAAUAUUAUUAGUGAAAAAAUAACAAUAAUAAAUCAACUCAAACUAAUAAAUCACAAAACUAAUUAAAAAAAGCCAAUCAAAAUAAUAAAUUAAAAUAAUAUAUAAAAUAAAUCAAUAAAAUCUAACUAAGAAAAAUAAAUAAUUUAUGCAAGUUCUAAAAGUAUAGUAACAUAUCAAUAGAAAAAUUUACAGAUUGCAAAGAAAUCGGAAGAUAUGAACGGAUGAUGAAUUAUGAUUUGUGAAGCAAUGAAGGUGAAUUGACGAAGAAUGAAGAAUCGGGAAGGGUUUGGAAAUUUUUUUGUUUUUUCUAAUGGUGUCGGUGGAAGUAAAGGAAAAAUAAUAAUGAUAUUUUUUUUGUUUUUCUUCUAAUGGUGCCUGUGGAAGUAAUGAUGAUGGAUGGUGUUUUGUAAUGAACAAUCAAUGGUAUUUUUGUUAUUAAUAAUUAAUGAUAUUUUCAUAAUUUUAAUUAAACUAACUUUUUUUUUUUUUUUACAUCGGACUGCAGCCCCGUACGGCCGACUAACAGAUCCACCCCGGUGGAGAGAAUUAAUAAAAAGUCUAGACUAAAUUUACAUUUAAUUCAAUGGUGGAGCUGGACAAUUGGAUAAACCAAUAAAGUUUUCAUUAACGAACAUGAAGGAAGGCCAUUCGGUGUACUGCAGCUUUGAUCCUGUUUGAGUAAAUGCAUUUCAGUAAAGAUGGCUUCUUGCGGUACAGUUGAGUGUCAACGCUUUCCUUGGAGUCCGGUAAUAACCUUAGCUUUCUUGAUCUACAAAUUUAGGAUUUUUCCUUUGCAAAAUAUUUAAUAUUACAUAUCUACGUGUCCCAUCCGAUGAAUAUUUAAGUACGGCUCAUAUCUCGGGCCAUGUAUUAACAGGUCUCCUCCUCUCUAAUGAACUUUUUUGAUUUUUUUUUUAAUUUUUUAAGUAGGGGAGUAAGUAAUUAAUAAAUUUAGGGUGUGUUUAUUUAAGGGUUUAAGAGAUUAGAAUGAAGGAAUGUGAAUAAAACUCAUGUUUACUUGAUCAAAAUGUAAUUUAAAAAUGAAAAUAAAAUAUGUGGGUCCCAUACAAUUUGAAUAUAAAGAAUGAGAAUUUCAUUCACAUGGGGGUUGUGAAUGAAAAUAAAGAAAUAAAAAUAAAACAUGAGUUUACUUUUAUAUCCCUUUAAUUUUUUUUUAUUUUUUUUAAAUUACCCUCAUUCAAAUCACAAUUAAUUUUUAUUAUUUUAAAUAUUAUUAUUAUUAUUAAAUUUUAAACUUUAUUAUUUUAGUUAUUAUUAAUUAUUGUUAUUAUUAUUUUUAUUAAUAUUAUCAUUAUUAACAAUUAUUAUUAUUAUUAUUAUCAUCAUCAUCAUCAUCAUCAAAAUUUAUUAAUUUUAUUAUUUUAAAUGUCAUUAUUAUUAUUAUUAAUUUUAUUAUUUUAGUUAUUAUUAAUUAUUUUAGUUUUUAUUUUAUUAAUAUUAUCAUUAUUAACAAUUAUUAUUAUCAAAAUUUAUUAAAUUUAUUAUUUUAAAUGUCAUUAUUAUUAUUAUUAUUGACUUUAUUAUUUUAGUUAUUAUUAAUUAUUGUUAUUUUUAUUUUUAUUAAAUUAUCAUUAUUAACAUUUAUUAUUAUUAUUAUCGUUAUUAUCAAAAUUUAUUUAAUUUAUUAUUUUAAAUGUCUUUAUUAUUAUUAUUGACUUUAUUAUUUUAGUUAUUAUUAUUAUCAUUAUUAUUAUCAAAAUUUAUUAAAUUUAUUAUUUUAAAUGUCAUUAUAUUAUUAUUAUUGACUAUAUUAUUUUAGUUAUUAUUAAUUAUUUUAUUAUUAUUAUCAUUAUUAACAAUUUUUUAUUAUUAUUAUUAUUAUUAUUAUUAUUAUUAUUAUUAUCAAAAUUUAUUAAAUAUAUUAUUUUAAAUAUCAUUAUUAUUAUUGACUAUAUUAUUUUAGUUAUUAUUAAUUAUUAAUUUUUAUUUUUAUUAAUAUUAUCAUUAUUAACAUUUAUUAUUAUUAAUUUAAUUUUUUUAAUUAAUAGUAUUUUUAUAAUAAUAUUUAUACAUGUAUCUAGUUGAUAAAAAUUACAUUAUUUAAUACUAUGAGUAUUUUGUUAAAUUGAUUCUCAUUUCUAUUCCUUAUUCCCAUUUAUUUUGUCAAGUAAACAUAUCAAUGACAUUCCAGUAAAUUUUCAUUUUUAUUUAUUUUUUACAAGUAAACAUUUCACCUCAUUCACAUUCCUCAUUCUCAUUCUAUAAAAUAAACGCACCAUUAUUUCUUAAUUUUUCAUUUCUGUCAAAUUUCUAAUUCAAUUAGUCACACAAAUAAAAUUACUUACUUGAAAAUCAUUUCCAAGCGUACAAUGAACUUAUUUGUUGGAGCUGGCUAAGUUACAGAUUCUGUAACUUACAGAUCCAACUCAUAUUGCCUGCAUUUGCACAAUUUUUCUCUCUCCUCAGGACACGUGUGUUGCUUCCCAUUGGGUGUGUACGUUACAGAUUCUGUAACGUAGAUUGGUCCCUUAUUUGUAAUGUUGUCUAUUAUUAUAGUUUAUCACUAUUAUUCCUAUCAAUCAGAGACUAUCCGUAGCACGCAACUCCAAACCGAUUUAUUUAAACGUGCUGCCAAACAACACGACUCGCAUAAGAUAAAAUGAAAGAACAAUCAAGAAUCAUCAUUCCAUUAUCCAAUUUUUCUUGCCGUAGCCAGAACGCUUUUCUAAGUAGCGACAUAGGAUAAAUGGAAGAACGAUCAAGCUGAUAUGGCUAUUUUGUCAUUAUUGCUUUUCUUGACUAUCACAUUUAUGUCGAUGCUCCAACUUUCAAUUUCUUCAACAUUUAGCCUUUCUAGAAGCAACAGUACAUACUCUACUGAUGCGACAAAAGGAUUAAAAAAAAAAAAAUGCUCGUUGCGUCACUGCUUAGGCCAUUCUAAAUCUUCAGUUCUCUGUCUGAAGUCUAUCACUUGGUGCAAAAUAGUCAAAUUUUCAACAUUUAGACCAUACGAUAAUCGGACACGUGGAUGAUCCUGUGACUACCACAUUUUUCCAAGUCACGUAGCGGGCCAUUUAUAUUAGUUAAUUCAUUUGUGAAUGUAAUGAGAAAGAACUAAGGCGACGCACACUAGCAGGAGCUGAAACUUUCAGUCUUUCACUGUCUGAAAAGGCCGUUGACCAUUCAAUCUGCGUACGUUCUUUGUUCUCAAAUUUUAUCGUUUGUUUUCAUUUUUCGUUCAUGUCAAGUUUCUGUAUUUGCACACAAUUAAAUGAUCACUCAUUCGCAGGUUUUGCUUUUACCUGACGCUUUUCAAUAGUUUGAUGCACUCUAGUAUUUGUGAUAUAUCUUUCUGCUAGUGCUUGAUGACCCAAGUUGCAUGUGAACGGAUUAGUUAUUCAUUUUACUUUGUUAAUCAGUCAAAUAUCAUAGACCCCAUCUGUUAUUACGGUGGUGAUUGCUAGGAACAGUUGAGAGUCUUGUCAAACUUUUCCAAACAUGUGUCCAAAUAGAUUGAGCUUGUACGUGAGAUAGCUGGAUUUUAUUUGCUUACAAACCUUUUUUGGGAUUAUUUAAAAAUUACAAUUACUGACCUGGUUUCGGAUAUACGAGAGUUGUUUGCUGUUAUCCAAUUUAUUUUGGUUGGAGCACGUUUUAACUGACACAAAGCCGGAAAUACCAGUUCAAUCUCAGUAACCUCUAUAAUUUGUCUCAAAUACGUUGUGUUUAGUUAUUUAUGUUCUUGGAUUUCCAGUUCAUUUAUGGCUUAACUGAUAUAAGAAAGCUGACAGGGAUAUGAGAAAUUUUUCUCAAGGAUGGAAGAUUCUGGUAGCCAUUUUUCUGUUGGGAUUAAGCUUUCCAUACUCACAAGGUUAUAAUGUCAAAUCUAAAGUCUUUUUGUCACCUAAGUUUGUGCUGGGGCCAGGAUCCGUUGAGAAUAAAUUUUACUAUGGGAUUGACUUUCCGAGAGGUCAUAUUGCUCUAAAGAGUUUUGAUGCAGAAGUAAUUGAUGAGGCAGGAAAUCCCAUUCCUCUUCACGAGACUUAUCUCCACCAUUGGCUCGUUGAAAAAUACUAUGGACGUAAAGAUGCAGAAGUACUAGAGUAUAAUGGCAACAGACUUCUUCAUGAAUCAGAUUACAUUUCAGCGAGAAAUGAUGGCAUAUGCCAGAGGAAUUGUCUCGGGCAGUUUUUUGGCCUUGGCUCUGAGACACGAGGAACAGCAACGCAUAUUCCAGAUCCUUAUGGUAUAGAAAUUGGCAAUCCUGCUACAAUUCCUGCAGGCUAUGAAGAGAGAUGGUUUCUUAAUGUCCAUGCAAUUGAUACACGAGGUGUCGAAGAUAGGUUGGGAUGCACCGAAUGCAAGUGCGAUUUGUACAAUGUUACAGUGGAUGAGUAUGGCCAGCUGCUAAGGCCAAAUUACAGAGGUGGUUUUGCGUGUUGUUACGAUGGUACUCAGUGUAGAGUGAAAAAUGGUUUUGAAGGUGCCAGGAGGAGCCUCUAUUUGAGAUAUACCGUAAAGUGGGUUGAUUGGGACACUUCCAUUGUGCCUGUUAAAAUCUACAUAUUUGAUGUCACUGACAAUGAAACACGGUUUAGUGAUUCCACUGGAUUCAGCAUACAGCAUCAUUGCCAGGUAAGUGAAAUUCUUUUUACGAAACUCUCCAAGCUGAAACAGAAAUGAAUUUUAUUUGGGACGCUCAGUGGAAUAGCCUCGGCAUUACUUUCUUCAUCUUUUACGGUUCAUUGAACUAGGUUGUUAUAUAAUCAUUUAAUGCUUGUUUUGGUGCAUUACUGGAAAAAUGGAAUUGGUUCAUUGAUGCAACGAACACAAAGUUGGAAUCUGCAUAAAGCUAAUCGUAAUUUUCUGGAAAACUUUCUUUGGGCUUAGAGUCCUCUUUGACGGCAUACUGUUUAAUAUGUGUGUAUGAAAUGACUUGCGUUGAAGAUAUUUUUUGUUUAAUGUGGAGGAUUUUGUAUUAAAUGUGCACAAAUUUAUAGACAUUCAAGAGCACAUAAGCACAAACACUUACUUCAGCCCUUAAAUUUGAUAAUCAAUAGUGUAAACGUUUUGAUUUGUGAUUUUCUUGCAACUCUUAGUGACUUAAUUUCUUCACAAAUGUGGACCCAUCGGAAUAUCUCUGAUUGCAGACUGAAUAUUCUGUUGAUCCCUGUAAAGCCAAUGAUGUAGCUGAUAAUGGGUGUGUCCACACCAAAAGGACCAGUGUCACGAUGCCAACCAGUGGUUACAUCAUCUAUGGCGUUGCCCAUCAGCACUCAGGGGGCAUUGGUGCAGCUCUAUACAGAGAGGUGAUUUCAAUAUCUAAUUUGCAUUCACGUGGCAUGCCUUUUCUUUUGUCUAUGUUCUACUUUCCAUUGUAAUUUUAUCAUUCUUAUCUGCCAGGUUGGUGGUAAACUGGUGAUGUAUGAAGACGUGUACUAGUUCUUGAUCUUUUUAAUUUUCUUGUUAGAUUAUGCUUUGAAAGUUAAUGUUUCUUUAGUCUGCAAAAGAAUUGUCAGCUAUGACAGAAGUUACUAUUUUUUGCACAUAAAGAAUGUUUUAAGAUUAUGUAAAUGUUUAUAACAUUAAUUAGAUGUUGAGGACACGUGAGUGUGACAUUAUCAUAUUUCCAAAUAGACUAUUUUUGAGCUUCCAGCUGCUUGAUUUGUUUGUCAUCCUCAAAGUUUCGAUAAUAUUGAUGUUUCAUAUAUAGUGUAAUGGUCCCUCAACUUGGUUGGAUGUUUUCCCUUUUUGUUUUGAAGAACAAUUCUUCAUUACUCAUUUUAUGUAAUUUGUUCAGAACCCACUGUGAUGAUUGUGGAAGGAAUUUGAUUCCCUAAUGUCUUCUUUCAUUGAUAUGCUUGUUUUUGGUGAAAUCAGGAUGGACAACUUAUGUGCUCUUCAAUUCCAGCUUAUGGAAAUGGGAUGGAAGCUGGAAACGAGGCUGGAUAUAUUGUAGGAAUGUCGACCUGUUAUCCUAAACCAGGCUCCCUCAGGAUAACAGAUGGGGAAACUCUGAUUGUGGAAUCUAGCUAUAGUAGCUCCCGCGAACACACAGGAGUCAUGGGGCUUUUCUACAUUUUGGUUGCAGACAGGGUGCCCGAGUCCAGUUCAUUCUUAGAUGUUUUCAACAAGGUAAGAUUCCCUUUUCAUAUUUUUAGAUAGUGAGUUCAGCAAUACAAGUUAUUAUGCUUGUGAGCACAUGCGAAAAUACGGCAGAUACAAAAAACUUAUUCUAGAAUUGAGUAGGAAUAUUGUCUUGCCUCUUAGAUUAUCGAAAUGGUAUAGAGAAUGGAUUAUAGACAGUCGUUUGAUUAGUGUUGAUGAGAAGAUUAUUAUUUGCGGGAGUAGAAACUGUUUAAUAUGAUUCUUAGGCGAUAAUAGAACUAUAAUCCUCUUCGUGAUUUUAACAAGAAACACCAAGCAUCUGAUAAGUGAUAACUGCCUGGUUUUUGCAGAUGGACAGUGAUAUAAACCAUUCUGCUUUUGUUUGGGGAGCAUUUGUUUUAGCCGGAGUUGCUGUCAUUGCUGCCGCUGUGGGUUACAGGCGUAGGAAUAAGUACGAAGAUGGAUACCAACCAAUUAUGAUCUGAACUUGUUCUUAUGAGGCUUAGCCAUGUGUAUUAGACAGAAAUAAUGUUAGCUCUGUACCAUAUGUUAUUGAAACUCUCGUUUCCCUUUGCUAGACGAGUGUGAAUAAACCCGGGCGACUCACAGUCUGCUGUGGACCAAUGUGGGUUAUGGUCUAGCCCAAUAUUAAUGCCAUUACUGUUGUUAGUAAUUGGAACUGUGUGAUUUAUGUGA
rnacentral:lncRNA from 1 species